rnacentral:sRNA from 1 species
UCCAUGCAGCCAGCUAUAGAUGGCUUUCCAAAACAACAGAAAUCCUUCACCAAUAGAGUGCACUACUUACCUGCUUAUAGCCUAUACAGACGAACUGAUCUGUCCUUCGUGAAACGCAACAAAGCUAGUUCUGUCUUUUCAGAAGUCUUACAACCUUGGCAAAGCGUAGUUUUAUCAGGUAAAUUCUGGUAAUUAAAAAUGCAUGUUUAAAAAAUUAGCCUAGUAAGGCCGGGUGCAUCCCACCACACCCAGCUAAUUUAAAAAAAAAUUUUUGUGGAGUCUGUGUUGCCCAGGCUGGUCUCUUAACUCCUAGGCUCAAGUGAUCCUCCCGCCUCAGCCUCCCAAAGUGCUUGGAUGACAGGUGCAAGCCACAGCACCUGGCCCACAUUUUUUAAAGAGACAGUGUCCCACUCCA